rnacentral:rRNA from 1 species
AGAGUUUGAUCCUGGCUCAGAGCGAACGCUGGCGGCAGGCUUAACACAUGCAAGUCGAACGGGCCCUUCGGGGUCAGUGGCAGACGGGUGAGUAACACGUGGGAACGUGCCCUUCGGUUCGGAACAACUCAGGGAAACUUGAGCUAAUACCGGAUACGCCCUUCGGGGGAAAGAUUUAUCGCUGAAGGAUCGGCCCGCGUCUGAUUAGCUAGUUGGUGAGGUAAUGGCUCACCAAGGCGACGAUCAGUAGCUGGUCUGAGAGGAUGAUCAGCCACACUGGGACUGAGACACGGCCCAGACUCCUACGGGAGGCAGCAGUGGGGAAUAUUGGACAAUGGGCGCAAGCCUGAUCCAGCCAUGCCGCGUGAGUGAUGAAGGCCUUAGGGUUGUAAAGCUCUUUCGUCCGGGACGAUAAUGACGGUACCGGAAGAAGAAGCCCCGGCUAACUUCGUGCCAGCAGCCGCGGUAAUACGAAGGGGGCUAGCGUUGCUCGGAAUCACUGGGCGUAAAGGGCGCGUAGGCGGCCAUUCAAGUCAGAGGUGAAAGCCCAAGGCUCAACCUUGGAAUUGCCUUUGAUACUGUUUGGCUUGAGACCGGAAGAGGUAAGUGGAACUGCGAGUGUAGAGGUGAAAUUCGUAGAUAUUCGCAAGAACACCAGUGGCGAAGGCGGCUUACUGGUCCGGUUCUGACGCUGAGGCGCGAAAGCGUGGGGAGCAAACAGGAUUAGAUACCCUAGUAGUCC